rnacentral:tRNA from 1 species
GAAAUAUGUCUGAUAAAAGAGUUACUUUGAUAGAGUAAAAAAUAGAGGUUCAAAUCCUCUUAUUUCUA